rnacentral:rRNA from 1 species
GCGAGUGGCGAACGGGUGAGUAACACGUGGAUAACCUGCCUCAAGGCUGGGGAUAACAUUUGGAAACAGAUGCUAAUACCGAAUAAAACUUAGUAUCGCAUGAUACAAAGUUGAAAGGCGCUACGGCGUCACCUAGAGAUGGGUCCGCGGUGCAUUAGUUAGUUGGUGGGGUAAAGGCCUACCAAGACAAUGAUGCAUAGCCGAGUUGAGAGACUGAUCGGC